rnacentral:rRNA from 1 species
AGCAUAUCAAUAAGCGGAGGAAAAGAACCCAACAGGGAUUGCCCCAGUAACGGCGAGUGAAGCGGCAACAGCUCAAAUUUGAAAUCUGGCCCCUAGGGCCCGAGUUGUAAUUUGCAGAGGAUGCUUUUGGCGAGGUGCCUUCCGAGUUCCCUGGAACGGGACGCCAUAGAGGGUGAGAGCCCCGUCUGGUUGGAUACCGAGCCUCUGUAAAGCUCCUUCGACGAGUCGAGUAGUUUGGGAAUGCUGCUCUAAAUGGGAGGUAUAUGUCUUCUAAAGCUAAAUAUUGGCCAGAGACCGAUAGCGCACAAGUAGAGUGAUCGAAAGAUGAAAAGCACUUUGAAAAGAGGGUUAAAAAGUACGUGAAAUUGUUGAAAGGGAAGCGCUCAUGACCAGACUUGGGCCCGGUGAAUCACCCAGCGUUCUCGCUGGGGCACUUUGCCGGGCUCAGGCCAGCAUCAGUUCGCGCCGGGGGACAAAGACUUCGGGAAUGUGGCUCCUCCGGGAGUGUUAUAGCCCGUUGUGCAAUACCCUGGGGCGGACUGAGGUUCGCGCAUCUGCAAGGAUGCUGGCGUAAUGGUCAUCAGCGACCCGUCUUGAAACACGGACCAAGGAGUCGUCUUCGUAUGCGAGUGUUCGGGUGCAAAGCCCCUACGCGUAAUGAAAGUGAACGCAGGUGAGAGCUUCGGCGCAUCAUCGACCGAUCCUGAUGUUCUCGGAUGGAUUUGAGUAAGAGCAUACGGGGCCGGACCCGAAAGAAGGUGAACUAUGCUUGAAUAGGGUGAAGCCAGGGGAAACCCUGGUGGAGGCUCGCAGCGGUUCUGACGUGCAAAUCGAUCGUCAAUUUGAGCAUGGGGGCAAAAGACUAAUCGAACCUUCUAGUAGCUGGUUCC